rnacentral:rRNA from 1 species
CCUACGGGAGGCAGCAGUGGGGAAUAUUGGACAAUGGGCGCAAGCCUGAUCCAGCCAUGCCGCGUGAGUGAUGAAGGUCUUAGGAUUGUAAAGCUCUUUCACCGAUGAAGAUAAUGACGGUAGUCGGAGAAGAAGCCCCGGCUAACUUCGUGCCAGCAGCCGCGGUAAUACGAAGGGGGCUAGCGUUGUUCGGAAUUACUGGGCGUAAAGCGCACGUAGGCGGAUAUUUAAGUCAGGGGUGAAAUCCCGCAGCUCAACUGCGGAACUGCCUUUGAUACUGGGUAUCUUGAGUAUGGAAGAGGUGAGUGGAAUUCCGAGUGUAGAGGUGAAAUUCGUAGAUAUUCGGAGGAACACCAGUGGCGAAGGCGGCUCACUGGUCCAUUACUGACGCUGAGGUGCGAAAGCGUGGGGAGCAACAGGAUUAGAUACCCUGGUAGUCCACGCCGUAAACGAUGAAUGUUAGCCGUCGGGCAGUAUACUGUUCGGUGGCGCAGCUAACGCAUUAACAUUCCGCCUGGGGAGUACGGUCGCAGAUUAAAACUCAAAGGAAUUGACGG